rnacentral:rRNA from 1 species
GACGAACGCUGGCUGCGUGCCUAAUACAUGCAAGUCGAACGCAGUGGGGACGGGUGAGUAACACGUGGGUAACCUCCCAUCAGAGGGGAUAACACUUGGAAACAGGUGCUAAACCGAUACUGAUGGAUGGACCCUCGGUGCAUUAGCUAGUUGGUGAGGUAACGGCUCACCAAGGCCACGAUGCAUAGCCGACCUGAGAGGGGGAUCGGACACACUGGGACUGAGACAAGGGCCAGAAUACUACGGGAGGCAGCAGUAGGGAAGCGGCGGCAAUGGAAGAAAGGCUGACAGAGCAACGCCGCGUGAGUGAAGAAGGUUUUCGGAUCGUAAAACUCUGUUGUUAGAGAAGCGGUAUCUAACCAGAAAGCCACGGCUAACUACGUGCCAGCCGCCGCGGUAAUAC